UACAGAGGGUGCAAGCGUUGUUCGGAAUUAUUGGGCGUAAAGCGCGUGUAGGCGGCGAUGCAAGUCGGGUGUGAAAGCCCUCAGCUUAACUGAGGAAGUGCGCCCGAAACUGCGUUGCUUGAGUACCGGAGAGGAUGGCGGAAUUCCCGAAGUAGAGGUGAAAUUCGUAGAUAUCGGGAGGAACACCGGUGGCGAAGGCGGCGACCUGGGUCGAUACUGACGCUGAGGUGCGAAAGCGUGGGGAGCAAACAGG
rnacentral:rRNA from 1 species